GUUGAGGUUGCAGCUUGGUAACAUUAACCCUUAUUUUCAAAGCUCUCGCCUCCAGUCCAUCCACCUGUCCCGAGUCGAUACCACUGUGCUCUGUGUUUGAUUCAGCGGCGGGAUUAAGUGUGCCCCUGGAUGCAGGGGACAGUGGUGAAGAGGCAGUCAAGAUCUUCCACCUUGUAGGAACCUAUCUUUGCUAAGAGAAAUGUUUACAAGGUGGCCGGGCCCCAUGAAUCAAGGGAUUAUUGUGAUGAAGAGGCAGCUGCCAUUGGGCCUGAGUCCAGCGAUGUUUAGGUGGGUUAACCAAGGCCCGCAGCCUCUAU